rnacentral:rRNA from 1 species
CCUACGGGGUGCACCAGUGGGGAAUAUUGCACAAUGGGCGCAAGCCUGAUGCAGCCAUGCCGCGUGUAUGAAGAAGGCCUUCGGGUUGUAAAGUACUUUCAGCGGGGAGGAAGGUGUUGUGGUUAAUAACCACAGCAAUUGGCGUUACCCGCAGAAGAAGCACCGGCUAACUCCGUGCCAGCAGCCGCGGUAAUACGGAGGGUGCAAGCGUUAAUCGGAAUUACUGGGCGUAAAGCGCACGCAGGCGGUUUGUUAAGUCAGAUGUGAAAUCCCCGGGCUCAACCUGGGAACUGCAUCUGAUACUGGCAAGCUUGAGUCUCGUAGAGGGGGGUAGAAUUCCAGGUGUAGCGGUGAAAUGCGUAGAGAUCUGGAGGAAUACCGGUGGCGAAGGCGGCCCCCUGGACGAAGACUGACGCUCAGGUGCGAAAGCGUGGGGAGCAAACAGGAUUAGAUACCCGUGUAGUC